UGCGCAGGCGGUUAUAUAAGUCAGAUGUGAAAUCCCCGGGCUCAACCUGGGAACUGCAUUUGAGACUGUAUAGCUAGAGUACGGUAGAGGGGGAUGGAAUUCCGCGUGUAGCAGUGAAAUGCGUAGAUAUGCGGAGGAACACCGAUGGCGAAGGCAAUCCCCUGGACCUGUACUGACGCUCAUGCACGAAAGCGUGGGGAGCAAACA
rnacentral:rRNA from 1 species